rnacentral:rRNA from 1 species
AGAACGAACGCUGGCGGCAGGCUUAACACAUGCAAGUCGAGCGCCCAGCAAUGGGAGCGGCGGACGGGUGCGUAACACGUGGGAACAUGCCUUUCGGUACGGAACAACUGCGGGAAACUGCAGCUAAUGCCGUAUACGCCCUUACGGGGAAAGAUUUAUCGCCGAAAGAUUGGCCCGCGUCUGAUUAGCUAGUUGGUGAGGUAACGGCUCACCAAGGCUUCGAUCAGCAGCUGGUUUGAGAGAACGACCAGCCACACUGGGACUGAGACACGGCCCAGACUCCUACGGGAGGCAGCAGUGGGGAAUCUUGGACAAUGGGCGAAAGCCUGAUCCAGCCAUGCCGCGUGAGUGAUGAAGGCCUUCGGGUUGUAAAACUCUUUUACCUGGGAAGAUAAUGACUGUACCAGGAGAAUAAGCCCCGGCUAACUUCGUGCCAGCAGCCGC